AAAGGCACUUGCAAAGGGGCUAGUGAAUGGUGGGGUAUCCUGGGCCUCACAUACCUAGGACUAAGGGGAAGCUGGAAGGCAAAUACUUCCCAAACAUGUCUGGGAGCCCCAGGAUGUAGGAAGAGUUGGAGACCUUCUAAACCAUUUGUCUAAAUAUUUGAAAUUUAUUACUUGAGUCAUCAAACCACUAAAGGAAGUGUGUUCUAACUGUUGCCUCCGCAAAUCCCCAUGUGGCAACCUGAAAGACUUAGUUGGAAGCCAUAAUUCUUGGACUGUUCACAACUCCGUGCUGGAACAAGGAGAAGCACACAUGUCUACCAGGAAGACACCACCAGGAGGGGAGGUCACAGAGACAGUGGAGGUGCACAGCCUCCCUCCUGGUCCUCUGAUGGAGGCCAGAAGAGGGCAGAAGAUCCCCUGGAACUGGA